CAGCGCAGCCCGCAACACCCCUGGUCUGCCGCAGGAGACCCUGCCGAUGCCACUCAGGGUCAAGACUCUGGCGCGGUGGAAACUGCAGAGCAAAAGGAAACACAGACAAAAACAGUGAGAAGGAGAGAGAGCAUGUGGGGCUUUGCCAGAGAGGAACUUGGAUGGCAAUCACCUAAGAACUCCAAACUCAGUGCCAGGGCAGACUGGUGUCUAUUUUGCAAUGUCUUCCAGUAGUUGAUAACUUUCUACUUUUAAAAUAAUUGGAAGAAUGUAAGCUCUCAACUAGUCCACUAGUCCCGAAACAAUAGAUACCAGCUGGCAGAGAUAAUAGCUGUCUGGAAGAGAGAGAUACAUACCACAUCAAAAAACAACAAAAAAAGGAUGGCUCAAGUACUCAAAAGGCAGCACUAAAAUAAGGCUAUGUCUCUUCCUGAGAAUACUCUGGACUUCAUUCUCUGAUUAAAGAUCACAACUGCUUCUUCGUUGAGGAAAUCAUGUAUUUCAAAGCCACCAAUGAACAAGGUUUGCAUUUGUGUUCAUUUAAGAAAAGAAAAAAACCCUGAGCAAACCUUUCUCUGUGCAUUAAGCCUUCUGACCUUUAUUGAAAUAACAAAACAGUUAUUCAAAGGACACGAGGAUGAAUUAAAGAAUGACAAUCCAUGAAUUACACAGUAAACAAAUACUAUAUGUAUGAGACCGAUUCACUGUCACAAACCUGGAGAAGAAAACCCUUUUGAGGUUUAAAGCUGAGAGGGAGAUAAAAACUUGGUUGUACUACUUCUGGGAAAUGCUGAAGUUAUCCACGUGAUUUUCCAGUCACUGAUUAUUUUAGCAAAGUAACACAAACAGAGGAGGAGCUCUGGACUCUAGCUUCUCAUUUCUAAAAGAACAGAUGUAAUGGGAUGUAUUGGUCCAGCACUGAUAACAGGUUAUCCUACAAUCAAGUAUACUCUUUCCAGAAAGCUGAGUUAGGUAUGCAACUGCCUUUCUAAGCCAUGACUACAUUGCUAAAUGAAUCAUUGAUUUGGAAAAUCUGAAGUGACCUUCAGCUUGUUCUCCAGCUCUUCCUCAACAGAAAAGAGAGGCAAAAUCAGCAAAAUAUUGGAAAGAGGUAGUUUUUCUAAAGGUAUUUGUGGCAGGUAGAAGAUUGGAGGCCACUCAGCUAUGUGUGUAAGUGUGUGCAGGGAGAAAUUAGGUUCUAUAUUCAGAAGUGACAUUCUUUGUAUUUUCAGUGUGGCUCUAAAAACAGAGCCUUUUUCUUAUAGUUCAGAGUCAGACACUGCCCUUGGCUUCUCAGCCAUUCUAGUAAACUAUUUGUUACUCAGAAAGCCUCAAAUUCUUCAUUGAAUUUAUUUGGACCAGUUUUUGUGCACUUACCUCGUUGGCAUGGUAAUAGUCUUUUGAAUAACCAAUACUGUGAACAAUUAUACAAUUAAAAAUUCUACUUCCAUUAUUAUUCUUAACUUCUCCCUUUAUAUUUUGUUACAGUUAUGAGGUAUGUUUUAUUAACUAUUCUAGACAUAGAUCUAGCCCUGCAUUUACUCAGCACUGCCUUGCUCCUUUUCAUGAGGGGUGAUCUAGUUAGACAUAUCAAUAUUCAAUGAAAUGUAUAGAUUACCCUGAUAAAAUGGCUCAAUGAAGUUCAUGUAAGGUCAAUGGAAGAUUGAGGCAUCAUAUGCACUGAGCCACUAAUUGGUCUCAUACUAGUAGGAUAUAGCUAUCCCCACCCCCUAUAUCUUGAGUCUCCUUCCUCUUAGGUGCUGAGCAUUUCCAAAGGCUUCUCUAGCUGAAGCAGGUAUAAGAAAAUGAAGUGACAUAAAGCAUCAACCCUUAGGUAUAAAUGAUUGGCAAGUCUCAACCUUGCUAAAACUGAGACUUUUCAAUUAGCUAUGCUUAAAAGUUUCUACUGAAUUACUGAAGCCAUAAUUAUGUAUGUAAUUCAAGUUUCCUUUGAGCUGACCUACAAUGAAAGAAGUUACCUAAAUGACCUCUUAGGUCCUUUUCUCUCUCCAGCAAUCAUGGAUACUUUACGAAUCUCAUAAGGAGUACAGCUCAUUUAUUAUUAACACCAUUUUAGAAUGAAGGAAGAAGAGGCUUAGAAAGGUUUAGUAGCAGAGAAGAGAGCAGCCUUCUGAUUUGUGGGUUCCACAUUCUGGAUGCAGAAAACUUUCAGUCAUUCUUAUCUAUUGUGAGGCUUGUACCAGUUUCUCCAUAAACUUACAAAACCAAACCAUUUUGACAAGCUUUGUUCCUGCCUCUGACUUCUUUCAGAUAGUGGCUAACCAUCUUCUCUUGAUGAGUCAUUUUUGCUCUUCCUCAUUCCCUUCUUGAUGUUCAAGUAGGUGAACGUGAUGACUAUAAAAGGCAAGCAAUUAAUAUCUGGGGUUAGGCAGAGCUCUGUAAGCCAAUCUCCAAGAAUGUGCAAGCUCCUUUGUCCUUAACUGUAACCUUGGCACAUGAAAAGCAACUUCCAUUCCGUUUUACCAACAUUUCGGUCAAAGAUCAAUUGCCAUUGUAAUUAUAUCAUAUAUCACAGGAUGGGGAAUCAGUGAGAGGGCAGGCCCUUUAAACUAAUACAUAUCAUUAGCAUUUAAAGAACAUGAAAAACAAAUUGAACAUUAGUCCUCAUGUAAGUCUUUUUUCUAGAGCAAAUAAUUUUCCAAAUUAAAAUGAAUAAAUUAAUGAAAUUGUCACAUGUCUGAGAAUAAACUAGGUUGGUAAUGCCGUCAAGCUCUUAGCAAAGUUUAGCUCAUUGUACUUCUCUGUCUGAUCAUUAUAACAUCUAAUCAAGGGGAGCUUAAAUACUUCAAUGAGCUCUCAAAAUAAAUUUGAUCUGAGCAGCUCAGGUCUCAUGGAUUCCUAGGGUUACUGACUGGGUGAAACAUGUUUUUGUUUUAAUCCCUGUCUCAGCUCAAAGAGGAUUAAUGCCCGUAAUUCUGCUAUCCCCAUUUAAUUGAGAAAUGAAAUUUGAAGAGGCACCUCCUGGAACACUCCACUUUGAAAUAUGACCCAUCCACUGUCUAUAUAAUAAAUCUUCCUCUGCUCUCACACACUUAUCCACAUCCUUCCUAUCCCAAAGAAGGAGGAAAGAAAGUUAUUGUGUGUGUGUGUGUGUGUGUGUGUGUGUGUGUGUUUCUGUGCAUCUAAUCCAAAACACACAAUGUUGUUGUUUUAUUUUUCAAUUUUGGAAUUAUCCUAAUAAAGGCAUUCUCUGGGAAGCUCAGACUGCAUCUCAAACCUUUCUCUGACACUAGCAUCCUCAUUGGAACAAAUAGCCCUUUCACUAAAAGCAAUACAGUUAUUGCAUUCAUGUUAUAUGAUGGUAAUUUUCACUUUUGCUUUCAAUACAACAUUAAAAGAAAAAUUGUCUAUAGGAAAGAAAGAGGCAAUAUACUAUAUCCUGGAACUAAUUCUUUGGCAUCUGUAAAAAAGGGGGCCAUAAUUCUGAAUAGAGGCUCCUGUCCUAAAACAGACCCAAUGCUAAGAUCUAAUAGAAAGGGCACAGAGAAGCAUAAGGAAACUUAAUGUCACUUUCACGUUUUUUGUACAAGUUGAUGUGAGGAUCUAAAGAGGCAAUUUCUGUAAAAUGCCUAGUAGAGGACCAGGCAUAUAGUAAGCCCUCAGCAAAUGCUGGCUGUUAUCAUUAUGUUUUAUAAAGAAUUUUUACAUCUUCCUCCUAAGCCCUGAGGCUUCAUAACGAAGCCUUAUAUAUGACUCUCAAUGGCUCAAUGUCUUUCCUAACCUAAUGUAGAAAGUGACAUACCAUUGCUUCCAACAUAACCUAUUGGUCACAUGGACCAACAUAAGACCAAUGUGGGAUGACCCUGUACAUAAGGGUAAGAAGCAGGCAUCACUUGGGGCCAUCUCAAAGGAAGGUGACCACAACUGCCUAAUGGCAGUUGAAUCCUUUAUCAAGCUACCCUCAGUAACACUUCAGCUUUCAAGGACCAGGUUUUUGUGACUAUUGUGAACAGGAUUUUAGUGAAUGAAGAUAUAUCCCAAAAUAACAUUUCACUUAAAAGUUGAAUAUCUGUUAUCAAUUUACAAAUGCUUUUAUGUUAUAUCUCACUUGAGCUUCAAAAUAACCUUUUAAGACAGACAAGAGUAGAAACUACUCCAGUGAUUUCAUAGAUAAGGAAACUGAAGAUCAGAGAGACUUAAUGAUUAACCUAAGAUUUAAACUAGAUAUCCUCCUAGCAUUCUCAUGGCACUUAUUCUGCUAGCGUAGGCUGCCUUGUAUAUUUUUUAAAUGACUAUCUGUUUAUGUGCUGGUCAUGGGGUUUGCAGCAAAUCACAAGUGUGUAAUUUUUUUUUCUUAAAGGCAUUUAAUCUACUUUCUAAAAAUCACUAGAAUUCAGAAACUGAUACUACUUCUUUUGUUUCAUUAUUUGCCUCCCUGCCCCCAACACUCAUACAUAUUUAGAGACACCCAUGGACACUCAUGAACACACAUAUUCUUCUUUCUAGUCCCUUAUCAAUGGCAAACUAAAGUUAUUUUAGAAUAUACUAGCUGUCAUUGUGCCACAGAGAAACCUCUCUUUCAUGCAAAUUGAUAUAUGUAUAUAAUCAUACAUGUUUAUAUAUAAACUUUGUAGCUUUCCUCCCUCUUUUCUAAAAUAAAUUAUGAAAGGUUGUAUGUUCAGGCUUCACGCAGAAUUUUUCAUUUGAGGGAGACUUUUUCAACCCUUUCUAUUUGAGUUGGUAGCCAUUUAUAUGAAGAGAAAAUGAAUACUAAUGGAAAAUCCUAGAGUGGAUUUGGAAAAUCAUUAUAACAGUUCUGCUAUAGGUUUGGGCCUUUGACAAACCACCUAUUCAAGGAUGAAAAAUCCACUAUUUCUCUUCUGCAUUUCUUUUUCCGAAUACAGCUAGAUUGAAUAACAGGCCAGAUAAAGGAUUCAGAACAAUUGCUUUACUAAGUAAUAGUGAGCCCAUGUUCUAACCAAUGGGACAGAAACUGACCCUCUGUAUCUCUGACACAGUUGCCUUUCAUUGACAGAUUUACAGUGGAGGGGUUGGGAGAGCAGAUGAAUUAAAAAAAAACAAAAGCAAAUCAAGAUCCCCCAUAAAUUUCACGAUCCCCACAUCUUCCACCUCAGCACCUAUUAGAACACCUUACUCUUAAAUUCUGCACAUGUGGAGAUUUAUUUGUAUCCCAGAGGUUUGCUCAGAUGUUUCCUCUGUGCUUUCAAUGCAGGCCCACCCUUUUCUUUCUUCAUAUUAAAACCAUAUAGAUUCUCCUUGAAGCCUUCUCAACUGGUAAUAAUCAUUUACAUCCUUGCUAGUGCUUAUGAUUUUCGAAUUACUUUUAGAUAAUCUAACUCAGCGAUCUCCACACAACCUUAGACACUUAGCCCGGCAAGUAUUGUGCUUUUGCUUUCAUGGAUGAGAAAAAGGAGACUUGGAGUGCUUUGAUUAGCAAACAAGGUUACAGAGCUAAAAAAGGAGUGACACUGGAGUAGAUCCCAGCUUAAAUGAAACCCACUGCUUUACCUGCCCCUAUAGCCUGCAUGAUAUUUCCCUAUUCUGAGUGCUUGGAGCUCUUGGAGUCUCUUACAUCUAAUGUGAUCAUUAAGAGGUACUAACUGUCUGAUUGCUUCUUGUGUGCAGCUAACUCACUGGUGACCCAGCACUUUGGGAGGAUGAGGAGGGUGGAUCACAAGGUCAGGAGUUCGAGACCAGCCUGGCCAACAUGAUGAAACCCCGUCUCUACUAAAAAUACAAAAAUUAGCCAGGCGUGGUGGCAUGCACCUGUAUUCCCAGCUACUUGGGACACUGAGGCAGGAGACUUGCUUGAACCCGGGAGGCAGAGGUUGCAGUGAGCCAAGAUCGUGCCACUGCACUCCAGCCUGGGCGACAGAGUGAGACUCCAUCUCAAAAAUAAGUAAAUGAAUAAAUAAAAAUAAAAUAGAUUGAGCCUCCACAUUUUGCAUGCAGCUUUCUUGGUGCUUGUCCUUCUCCUGUGCUUACUCAAAGAUGGGACAUUGUGCACAAUGAGAAGAGUAUUGGGACCAGUAAGGAAGAAUGAGUCAGAUAUUGUGGGACCUCUUUUUUUGUUGUUUUUUUUUGCUCCCAGAAAUCUUUGAGGUAAGUAACAUAGUCAAUUGAGGUCUGGAGUUAUGUACUCCAUUUAUUCAUUUUUUCUUAACAUAGUCCCUCCUUACUAUGUGAUAUUCUCUGUCCUAGACCUUGAAAAUACAAGUUAAAUAUGGCAUAUUCUUUACCUCUAUGAGCUUAAAAUUGAGUGGGGAAAGUUUCAUUUUUUCUUUGAAAUGAAAACAAACUUAAGUACCGAUAUGCAUGAGAAAAAUAAAUUGUUCAUUUCUUUACCUACAUCUCAUCAGGAGUAAACACAUUCUCUCUCUGGCUAAGCCAAAUAUACCAUAAAUCCCUCCUAAAAAAAUACCCUGAAAUUGAGAAUCCAAUUUUAAUGGCUAAAUUAUAUUUACCUUGAACUGAGCAUUUUCUAUUAGGAUUUACGUAUGCAUCUUGGGGAUUCUGAAUGUUGGACUUUUUUUUCUUUUUUCUUUUAGAUUUUAACCUGAAUGGAAAAGACAAUAUGAGGGUGAUGAAAGACUCUAGAUGGUCCGUCUUGGCAUCUGCUCAAUGAAGGAGAAUCGCAGAUAUGUGAACUCCUCCUGCUUCUGCUGUUUGUAGGAAGAGGCAGACUUGAAACCCUGCAUUGUCUGUGGCCUAAACAUUGCACAGAUGAUCAAUUUGUGAAAUAAGGGAUUUUUUAUUUGUAUUUGCCUAAAUAGAGAAACGCUAAUGGUGUGUUCCAUCAAUUAAAGAGAAAAGAAAUAAAUCUACCAAUACUACUGCAUUUGUUCAUUCAUAAAUUCAUUCAUUCAUUCCUCAUUCAUUCAUAUGCUAGAUCUUUGUAAUAAAAAAUUGAAAAAAAAUUAAACUCUUCAUUAUAAGUCUCAUCCUAGGAAGACAGACAAGUACACAUAUGAUAAGACAAGAAAAUUAAACUUUCUCAAGUGUUAAAGAGCAAGCACCAUCAUAUGUGUUUUUUAAUAUCACAUUGCGUUUAAUCUAAAUGCGCUAAGGAAACACAGGGCCAACCAGGGAGCUUGAUGUAAGUUUUUUGAUAAAUCUUAAUAGUGAAGAAUGGGGUGUAGAUUGUUAGAAAAAGACAAAUCCAUGGGGAUUUGAAUGUUAUUCGUACUGUUUUGAGUGGACAUAAGACAGUCCUGUGUAACUAGAGAAUAAAGUACGUUUAGCACCGUGAUGGGAGAAGAGAUGAGAAAGAUAAGCUGGAUCAAAUGACUUAAAGGACUUGAAAUCCAUCUUAAAAUAAAGGCUUCUACGAUAAAAAAAAAGGUAACUAAAAUCAAAGUGCCAAAAGGAAUAAGAAAAAGGUAAGUGAAAUCAAAGUUUUCUAUUAUAGAAGGAAAAUGAGUUGUUAUUUAUAAUGAAAAAUUGGAGAAGACAGAAACUGGUUAGGGAGUGGUUGACAUACCCCAUAACAUGAGGAUCUGAGGGCCAAGGUAUUAUGGAGAAUGGAAUUAUGGAGGAUAGGGCGAGACAAGAGACAUUUCAGAGAAAAAAAGCUGUGCUCCACAACCAGCUGUACUAGAACUUGCUAUUGUUCUCUGACGCCAAACCCUCCAUUGGGGUAAGCUAUGUUCAAUCACCUUCAUCUCGUAAGUGUUCAAGUGGGCUUUGCAGGAAAAUUGGUAUCUACUACUUCAGGAGGGAGACUCUUUAACCCAGAAGAAGGCAAAAAAAAAGUUUGAGCUGCCAAGUCUUAUUUGUGUUUAAUGUAUUUUAUCGAAUUAUCUUGAAGACUCAGUUCUUAGUUCUGUGUCAUAAAUAUGAACACUAUAUUUCCUCCAUUUGGGAAUUUUCAGUACUUUCCUUAAAAGGAGGCUAGCAAAAUGUAGUUUUUCUACAAACUCACUUACAUGGGUUGAAAGAGGAGUUUAUUUCCUAAGAUGUACUAUCUUGAAUAUUUAUUUUAGAUAAUUAUUUAUGCUUACAG
rnacentral:lncRNA from 1 species